rnacentral:rRNA from 1 species
GCAAGUCGAGCGAACGGACGAGAAGCUUGCUUCUCUGAUGUUAGCGGCGGACGGGUGAGUAACACGUGGAUAACCUACCUAUAAGACUGGGAUAACUUCGGGAAACCGGAGCUAAUACCGGAUAAUAUUUUGAACCGCAUGGUUCAAAAGUGAAAGACGGUCUUGCUGUCACUUAUAGAUGGAUCCGCGCUGCAUUAGCUAGUUGGUAAGGUAACGGCUUACCAAGGCAACGAUGCAUAGCCGACCUGAGAGGGUGAUCGGCCACACUGGAACUGAGACACGGUCCAGACUCCUACGGGAGGCAGCAGUAGGGAAUCUUCCGCAAUGGGCGAAAGCCUGACGGAGCAACGCCGCGUGAGUGAUGAAGGUCUUCGGAUCGUAAAACUCUGUUAUUAGGGAAGAACAUAUGUGUAAGUAACUGUGCACAUCUUGACGGUACCUAAUCAGAAAGCCACGGCUAACUACGUGCCAGCAGCCGCGGUAAUACGUAGGUGGCAAGCGUUAUCCGGAAUUAUUGGGCGUAAAGCGCGCGUAGGCGGUUUUUUAAGUCUGAUGUGAAAGCCCACGGCUCAACCGUGGAGGGUCAUUGGAAACUGGAAAACUUGAGUGCAGAAGAGGAAAGUGGAAUUCCAUGUGUAGCGGUGAAAUGCGCAGAGAUAUGGAGGAACACCAGUGGCGAAGGCGACUUUCUGGUCUGUAACUGACGCUGAUGUGCGAAAGCGUGGGGAUCAAACAGGAUUAGAUACCCUGGUAGUCCACGCCGUAAACGAUGAGUGCUAAGUGUUAGGGGGUUUCCGCCCCUUAGUGCUGCAGCUAACGCAUUAAGCACUCCGCCUGGGGAGUACGACCGCAAGGUUGAAACUCAAAGGAAUUGACGGGGACCCGCACAAGCGGUGGAGCAUGUGGUUUAAUUCGAAGCAACGCGAAGAACCUUACCAAAUCUUGACAUCCUUUGACAACUCUAGAGAUAGAGCCUUCCCCUUCGGGGGACAAAGUGACAGGUGGUGCAUGGUUGUCGUCAGCUCGUGUCGUGAGAUGUUGGGUUAAGUCCCGCAACGAGCGCAACCCUUAAGCUUAGUUGCCAUCAUUAAGUUGGGCACUCUAAGUUGACUGCCGGUGACAAACCGGAGGAAGGUGGGGAUGACGUCAAAUCAUCAUGCCCCUUAUGAUUUGGGCUACACACGUGCUACAAUGGACAAUACAAAGGGCAGCGAAACCGCGAGGUCAAGCAAAUCCCAUAAAGUUGUUCUCAGUUCGGAUUGUAGUCUGCAACUCGACUACAUGAAGCUGGAAUCGCUAGUAAUCGUAGAUCAGCAUGCUACGGUGAAUACGUUCCCGGGUCUUGUACACACCGCCCGUCACACCACGAGAGUUUGUAACACCCGAAGCCGGUGGAGUAAC